AAAAAGGUACAAAACAGUAUUAUAUUAAAUAAUACUGUUUUUAUAUAAUAAUACUGUUUUUUGUAUUAAAUAUUCCAAAUAAUUUUUUUAUGUUAUAGCUUCAAAAAAUUUAAAUAAAACCACUGAUCAAGAAACAAUAAGGUACAAAAACAAAAGAAAUAUUUAGAUUGGAAAGAACCAAUUAGAAACAAGUGUGUGGAUCACAAUCUUGACCAUUCAUUAAAUUGAAUCUAAAGGUCCACAAUCGUUCUAUUAUGAUUGGUUCAUUUAGAAAAAGGUGGGAUCACCGAUAUUUAAUACUGACCGUUGAUGAGUGUUGAUCUGAAGGUUGAAAUUAAUCUAAUUUAAUUUUUUUUUAAUCGUUCUCUUCCUUCUUUCCUCCUCUGUCGAUACCUCUUCUCUCUUCUCUCUUCUCUCUUCUCUCAUCUCUAGUCUCUCUUCUACUAUGCUUCUUCUCCUUUUGUCAGGGUUGAUCUCAACCUGCUUUGAAUGAUAGCUCCAAUAUUACCGAUGGCACCAGGAUUCACGCUGCUGUUUCUACUGUCUACUCGAUGGGUACAGAUCUAGGGUUGUUCUUUGGAGUCAUUUGGUUUGUCAUCUCCUUAAGAUCCGGUCUGGUUUGUCCGUCUGACGUUCUCCACCACCACGGUUAAAGAAUGUGUAGGAGGCAGAAGAAGGUUGAUGGUGGUGGUCUAGCGUAAACCGUGGUGGUCUCUAACUCGCAUCCGAAUCGUCCCGUCGUCAACGGUCUCGAGCUUACCCCUGUCGUCAGCGGUCUCGAACUUGUCAUCGUCAUCGAUGGUGCCGUAGAUGGAGACAGAAUAGAGUAAGACGUCGGAAGGGAGGCAAAGGAGAAAGGAGGAGGCGGCAGCGCAGAGAGAUUAGGUUUAGAGUUAAUUAGGUUUUGGUUAAUUAGGUUUAGAUUUUGGUUAAUUAGUCUAUGGUUUAGACUGUUCUGGUUUAGACUGUUCUGGUUUACUUCAUUUUUUUGUGCUGGUUUGGUUUUGUAAAACAUCUUAUUUGUAAAUUAUUUAUUUAAUAAAUAUAAUUCAACUUUAA